rnacentral:lncRNA from 1 species
GGCUUUAAACUAGUACACAUUAGUUAUUUCUCUCCUAUCACUCGAAAUGGAGGCAAGCCCAGUGACAGAUAUGAAGAUCUCGUCGGUGGUACCUGGUUCUAUGACAGGCGAGAACAAGCCACGGCAUCUCACGGCCAUGGACUUGGCCGUGAAGCUCCACUACGUCCGAGCUGUUUACUUCUUCAAGGGUACACGUGACUUCACCAUCGUCGACUUGAAUCACAUCACGUUUCCUUUGCUCGACCUCCAGUGUUAUGACCAUGUGACUGGUCGGAUCCGGAUUCUCGACAACAAAAACCCUUCAGCUCAAGCCAUACCUUACAUUCGCUGCAACGACAUGACAGUGGCAUGCGCAUAGUUGAAGCUAAAGUCGAAGGGUUCACGGUCCAGGAGUGGCUAGACUUGGACGACCGUUCCAUCGACCACCGGUUCCUUGUCUACGAUCACGUUCUUGGUCCUGAUCUUUUAUACUCUCCACUCGUUUACCUCCAGGUAACUACUACAUAUAUACGAGUUUUAUUACUCCAGUUUAAAAAUAUAAGCAGCCUUUUUUUUAACACUAAAAGUAAAGUAGCCUAAAAGUACUAAUAGGAAGAAAGUUGUUAUAUUUUAAAAAGUAUCAUUUUACUCAAUAAAUUCAACCAAUUAUGAAAAACUUAACAUUAUUUAAAUGGUCACACAGUAUCCAAUAAAUGUAAAAAAAGUGCAUUGAAAUAGGUAAAUUACUUACAUUGUGAAACAAUUUUUUUUUUGCUAAAAGUACCUACAAUAAAAGAGAGGGAGUAUUAUUUAUGGUCUCAAACUAAAAACCAACAUAAUUAAAUUCAAACUUUUUGUUUUGGUAGUUGCUAUCAAGCAUUCAUUCCAAGAUUAUUUUCUUGUUUUAUCUUAACUAUGAACUGGACACUUAAUAAACUGAGAAUCUUAACUUCGCAUUGGACUUUUAUUUAUUCCAGUAAGAAUAGAUUAGAUCAACAUAUGCUUAGACGGUCUCCACAACGAUUUGUUUCUAAAUAUAUAAUCAAGAACCUUUGUAUAAGCUGUCUGCACCACCAGCUAAAUGAUUUGUCGUAGUUAGGUAGGCCUGGGACUUUUAUCCGAGAUCCGGAUUCGAUCCGAGAUUCGAUCCGGAUCCAAUCCGAAAAUUCGAAUAUCCGGAGGGGC